ensembl:lncRNA
GUGAGCUGGGGGUCAGCCUCCUCUCUCAUGUAACUAGUGGUAGGACUACAGGGAAUGGCAGUUGCGCCAGGGGAGAUUCAGGCUGGACGUUAGGAAAUACUUCUCCAAAAGAGUGGUCAGGUGCUGGAAUGGGCUGCCCAGGGAGGUGGUGGAGUCACCGGCCCUGGAGGUGCUCAAGGAACGUUUAGGCAUUGUGUUGAGGGACAUGGUUUAGUGGGAACUGUUGGUGGCAGGUGAACGGUUGGACUGGAUGAUCUUGGAGUUCUUUUCCAAUCGCGGUGGUGCUAUGAUUCUCUGAUUCUAAGAACUCCUUAAGAGCAGCCCUGCAGAGAAGGACUUGGGGGCCCUGGUGGACAAGAAGCUGGACAUGAGCCAGCAGUAUGCGCUUGCGGCCUGGAAGGCUAACUGUGUUCUGGGCUGCAUUAUAAAAGGGAUGUCCGGCAGGGAGAGGGAGGUGAUUGUUCCCUUCUGCUCAGCUCUUAUGAGGUCCCAUCUGGAGUACUGAGUUCUGGCCUGGGGCCCCCAGUACAAGAAAGACGCAGAGCUCUUGGAACAGGUACAGAGGAGGCCCACUAGGAUGAUCAGAGGGCUGGAGCACCUCUCCUGUGAGGAAAGGUUGAGGGAAGUGGGCUUGUUUGGUUUGGAGAAGAGAAAUCUCCGGGGAGACCUCAUUGUGCCCUUCCAGUACUCAAUGGGAG